GAGUUUGAUCGUGGCUCAGAUUGAACGCUGGCGGCAUGCUUUACACAUGCAAGUCGAACGGUAACGCGGGGGGCAACCCUGGCGACGAGUGGCGAACGGGUGAGUAAUACAUCGGAACAUGUCCUGGAGUGGGGGAUAGCUCGGCGAAAGCCGGAUUAAUACCGCAUACGCUCUGAGGAGGAAAGCGGGGGACCUUCGGGCCUCGCGCUGCAGGAGUGGCCGAUGUCGGAUUAGCUAGUUGGUGAGGUAAAGGCUCACCAAGGCGACGAUCCGUAGCUGGUCUGAGAGGAUGAUCAGCCACACUGGGACUGAGACACGGCCCAGACUCCUACGGGAGGCAGCAGUGGGGAAUUUUGGACAAUGGGGGCAACCCUGAUCCAGCCAUGCCGCGUGUGUGAAGAAGGCCUUCGGUUGUAAG
rnacentral:rRNA from 1 species